AUGACAGUUGUGAUUCAAGUGUGGCUCAUGUUGAUACACAAGAGAGCAGUUCAUUGUGGUGAUAAGCUUGUCAUCCGUUAUGGUCCAUUGUUAAUCCAUGACCAUGAGAGGAUGACAAAUCUGAACAACAUCUAUAACUGCAACGACACAGAGGCUCUGUGGAUGCUUUGAAUGAAAAGAGCACCUUUCGCUAGUCUUGUGCAGACCUUCAGGAGUAGGGGGUUGCUACAAGAUAACAUUCACACCAGUGUGGAAGAGCAAGCAACCAUGUUCCUCCAUGUUGUUGGUCAUAACCAAAGGUUCAGGGUUAUGCACAACACGUUUAGGAGAUCAAUGGAGACCAUUUCCAUGUACUUCAGGCAAGUGUGGUAUGCUGUUGGGGAACUCAGAGGAGAGAUGAUAAGGUCACCAACCGGUCGGACUCCUAUCAAGAUUCACACUAGCCCAAAAUGGCAUCCAUGCUUCAAGGUGACCACUGACAGUAUGUAG
rnacentral:rRNA from 1 species